UACGUAGGGUGCAAGCGUUAAUCGGAAUUACUGGGCGUAAAGCGUGCGCAGGCGGUUUUGUAAGUCUGUCGUGAAAGCCCCGGGCUCAACCUGGGAAUUGCGAUGGAGACUGCAAGGCUUGAGUCUGGCAGAGGGGGGUAGAAUUCCACGUGUAGCAGUGAAAUGCGUAGAGAUGUGGAGGAACACCGAUGGCGAAGGCAGCCCCCUGGGUCAAGACUGACGCUCAUGCACGAAAGCGUGGGGAGCAAACAGG
rnacentral:rRNA from 1 species